CCUACGGGAGGCAGCAGUGGGGAAUAUUGCUCAAUGGGCGCAAGCCUGAACCAGCAACGCCGCGUGGAGGAAGAAGGCUUUCGGAUUGUAAACUCCUUUUGUCAGAGACGAUACUGACGGUAUUUAACGAAUAAGCACCGGCUAACGCCGAGCCAGCAGCCGCGGUACUACGGGGGGUGCCAGCGUUACUCGGAAUCACUGGGCGUAAAGGGCGCUUAGGCGGGAUAGGAAGUCAGAUGUGAAAUCCUAGGGCUUAAACAUAGAACUGCCAUUGAAACUGGUGUUCUUGAGUAGAGGAGAGGUAGGCGGAAUGCGUGGUGUAGCGGUAAAAUGCGUAGAGAUAAAGAGGAACACUGAUUGCGAAGGCGGCCUGCUAGAAUAUAACUGACGCUGAUGCACGAAAGCGUGGGGAGCGAACAGGAUUAGAUACCCGAGUAGUC
rnacentral:rRNA from 1 species